UUGGGGUGUAUGACAUGAAAAAAAAGCCUAAUUCAAUGGGUAACCAAUUUACCUAACAUUCAUAUACACACCGUUACAUUUAUAUAAUAAUACUGUAUUAGCCCUCCCUUUAACCGGUGCAACCUGAUGAAAACAAAUAAUUAAAAUUUUUAAUUAUUAACUUCAAAAAAUAAGACGUGGCUUACCCUACUUCACAUUUUCCCUUUUUACUUCACUUGCUAGCUUCCUCGCAUUCUAAUAGUCUCCGGUGCUGAUUUGCUCCACAUCGUCGCCUCCACCGGAUUUCCAAAGCUUUGUCGACGUCUUCUUCACUCUUUACAAUCGCGUUCUCUUUUCCUCUUAUGAAAUCAUCCGCCACCGGCUGGCGUUAAAGUUGCAGUGGCAGAUAGUAACAAACCGUUCCUAUUCUAAUUCACCUCCUCUAUUCUUGUCAGAUAUCUGGAACUACGGUAAGUUCUUGGGGUUUGCCUUCGAAUCUCUUCAUUUUCUCGUCAUUUCUUGUUAUUUUCUUUUCCAUUUGGUCUCUUCUCAGAAUUAGGGUUAUAUAAUUGAUAACUCUAUAACAUCGUUCCAGGUGCAUGUCGGAUCUGUUUUUAGCCGACAGUUAGGCAAUUGAUUUAGGGUUGGGGUUUAUCCGGUUGUUCUUCGGAUUUGUUAAAAUUGAAUUGUGAUUUUUAGCAGAAAUACUAUGUAUGGAAUAGUUUGAUGUAUGGAAUAGCAUUUGUAUUACAAUUUGUUUGCGUAUGAACGGAGCAUGAUAUCUUCUAUCUCUAUUCUAUUUACAGUGGAAUAGAAUAAAUUGUCAGUUCAAACUAUUUUACUUGCGACAAACUAUUCUAUUUAGAUGUGUUUGAAUGCUUGCAAUGUAUGCCAUACCAUUCAUUAUCAUCCAUUUUAAUCUGUAGAAUAUAUAACUCAUUGUUACUUUCUUAUCUUCAUUGUUCAGGUUUGGCAUGAAAGAUUUAGACCUUCCAUGUGAAGUCGGUAGACGUUGUUCAGCUCUGAUGAUGAGGAGUAACUAUAGUAGGCCGAUGAAUCUGUUUCUUUUCAAAUUUGUGGGAUUGUUGAUAAAAUUGUCUCUAUUGAUGGUGAAGGACUGUGGUAUAAUAGAGUUUCAAAGAUUCAUGUGGUGAGCGAUAAGACUUGGGUAGUGGUGAUCAUUUUCAUCUAUACAAUUGAAACCAAUUUCAUCUAUGCAUAUAUAAUAGAAAUGUAAAACAAUAUAUAUUUUUAUAAUUUGUUAUGCGAUGUAUUCUGUUACUAUAUUACCUUAUCAUGUUCGAUUCCACUUGACGGUUAAUAAAAAGUGCUCUAUUUUAUUUAUAAA